rnacentral:rRNA from 1 species
UACGUAGGGGGCUAGCGUUGUCCGGAAUCAUUGGGCGUAAAGCGCGUGUAGGCGGCCCGGUAAGUCCGCUGUGAAAGUCGGGGGCUCAACCCUCGGAUGCCGGUGGAUACUGUCGGGCUCGAGUACGGAAGAGGCGAGUGGAAAUUCCUGGUGUAGCGGUGAAAUGCGCAGAUAUCAGGAGGAACACCAAUUGCGAAGGCAGCUCCGCUGGGACGUUACUGACGCUGAGACGCGAAAGCGUGGGGAGCAAACAGG